AUGGCGACCGGCGCACGGGUGAGUAACGCGUAUCCAACCUGCCCUUUACUAUGGGACAGCCCGUCGAAAGGCGGAUUAAUACCGUAUGUUGUCAUGUUGAUGCAUAUUUUCAUGACCAAAGGCUUCGGCCGGUAAAGGAUGGGGAUGCGUCUGAUUAGCUUGCCGGCGGGGUAACGGCCCACCGGGGCGACGAUCAGUAGGGGUUCUGAGAGGAGGGUCCCCCACAUUGGAACUGAGACACGGUCCAAACUCCUACGGGAGGCAGCAG
rnacentral:rRNA from 1 species